rnacentral:rRNA from 1 species
UACGGGGGGGCAAGCGUUGUUCGGAAUUACUGGGCGUAAAGGGCUCGUAGGUGGCCAACUAAGUCGGACGUGAAAUCCCUCAGCUUAACUGGGGAACUGCGUCCGAUACUGGAUGGCUUGAGUUUGGGAGAGGGAUGCGGAAUUCCAGGUGGUAGCGGUGAAAUGCGUAGAUAUCUGGAGGAACACCGGUGGCGAAGGCGGCAUCCUGGACCAACACUGACACUGAGGAGCGAAAGCCAGGGAGCAACGGG